UCUAUCAAUCCUUAGUGGCGAACGGGUGAGUAACGCGUAAUCAACCUGCCCCUUCAGAGGGGGACAACAGUUGGAAACGACUGCUAAUACCGCAUACGAUCUAACCUGGCAUCGAGGAUAGAUGAAAGGUGGCCUCUACAUGUAAGCUAUCACUGAAGGAGGGGAUUGCGUCUGAUUAGCUAGUUGGAGGGGUAACGGCCCACCAAGGCGAUGAUCAGUAGCCGGUCUGAGAGGAUGAACGGCCACAUUGGGAUGAGACACGGCCCAGACUCUACGGGAGGCAGCAGUGGGGAAUCUUCCGCAAUGGACGAAAGUCUGACGGAGCAACGCCGCGUGAGUGAUGACGGCCUUCGGGUUGUAAA
rnacentral:rRNA from 1 species